rnacentral:rRNA from 1 species
GACGAACGCUGGCGGCGUGCUUAACACAUGCAAGUCGAGCGGUAAGGCCCUUUUCGGGGGUACGACGAGCGGCGAACGGGUGAGUAACACGUGGGUGACCUGCCCUCAGCUCUGGGAUAAGCCUGGGAAACCGGGUCUAAUACCGGAUAUGACUCCAUGACGCCUGUUGUGGGGUGGAAAGCCUUGUGCGGCUGAGGAUGGGCCCGCGGCCUAUCAGCUUGUUGGUGGGGUGANGGCCUACCAAGGCGACGACGGGUAGCCGGCCUGAGAGGGCGACCGGCCACACUGGGACUGAGACACGGCCCAGACUCCUACGGGAGGCAGCAGUGGGGAAUCUUGCGCAAUGGGCGAAAGCCUGACGCAGCGACGCCGCGUGAGGGAUGA